rnacentral:rRNA from 1 species
GCCUCAGUAACGGCGAGUGAAGCGGCAACAGCUCAAAUUUGAAAUCUGGCUCCUUCGGGGUCCGAGUUGUAAUUUGUAGAGGGUGCUUCGGCUUACGGCGCGGUCUAAGUUCCUUGGAACAGGACGUCACAGAGGGUGAGAAUCCCGUACGUGGCCGCGCCCUCCGCCAUGUGAAGCCCCUUCGACGAGUCGAGUUGUUUGGGAAUGCAGCUCUAAAUGGGAGGUAAAUUUCUUCUAAAGCUAAAUAUCAGCCAGAGACCGAUAGCGCACAAGUAGAGUGAUCGAAAGAUGAAAAGCACUUUGGAAAGAGAGUUAAAAAGUACGUGAAAUUGUUGAAAGGGAAGCGCUUGCGACCAGACUUGACCGCGGAUGCUCAGCCGGCCCUCCGGCCGGUGUACUCUUCCGCGGUCAGGCCAGCAUCAGUUUGGGCGGCCGGAUAAAGGCCCCGGGAAUGUGGCUCCCCUCGGGGAGUGUUAUAGCCCGGGGUGCAAUGCGGCCCGCCCGGACUGAGGACCGCGCUUCGGCUAGGAUGCUGGCGUAAUGGUCGUAAGCGGCCCGUCUUGAAACACGGACCAAGGAGUCUAACAUCUAUGCGAGUGUUUGGGUGUCAAACCCGUGCGCGUAAUGAAAGUGAACGGAGGUGGGAACCCCUCGGGGUGCACCAUCGACCGAUCCUGAUGUCUUCGGAUGGAUUUGAGUAAGAGCAUAGCUGUUGGGACCCGAAAGAUGGUGAACUAUGCGCGGAUAGGGUGAAGCCAGAGGAAACUCUGGUGGAGGCUCGCAGCGGUUCUGACGUGCAAAUCGAUCGUCAAAUCUACGCAUA